rnacentral:pre_miRNA from 1 species
GUAAUACUCCCUUCGUUCGGAAUUACUUGUCACAAAAAUGGAUGUAUCUACAACUAAAAUACAUCUAGAUACAUUCAUUUCUUGGACGAGUAAUUCCGAACGGAGGGAGUAGUAU